GUAAUAAUGAGAGUACACUGAUUAUGUCAAUAUUUGCUGCCUUUUUAUAAUGUGUGAGGUAAGUCACAACCUGCAUACAAAAUAUGUAAGCUAAAGUUAAUCAUUGAUGGAGCAAAUUUGGAAUGCAUGAAGACACAUUACUGAAUGUUCUUGUUUUUCUCACCGUGUCUGAGAGCUGAGGUUUGAAGUCCAACUUGAGGAAGCGGAAUGCCAAAACUGGAACUAUACAGAUUGCCGUUGCCAAUGCAAUAGUCAACCACACGACCGGCUGCAAUAGUGUACUCUGAGCACUGCCUGCUCUCAAAAAAAA